UUCUUGCAUUUUGGGUCUAUGUUUUAAACACAUACUCUAUAAACAAGUAAUAGAAUGUUAAUUAUUGGCCUUUUGUGCCUUUAAACCUAAUACAACUUUCAACAACGGAUCUCUUGGCUCUCGCAUCGAUGAAGAACGCAGCGAAAUGCGAUAAGUAAUGUGAAUUGCAGAAUUCAGUGAAUCAUCGAAUCUUUGAACGCACCUUGCGCUCCUUGGUAUUCCGAGGAGCAUGCCUGUUUGAGUGUCAUGAAAUUCUCAACCUUUCUGGCUUUUAUAAGUUGGUCAGGCUUGGAUUGUGGGAGUUGCUGGCUUUCUAUUGAAAUCAGCUCUUCUUAAAUGCAUUAGCAAAAAUUCUUGCUGGACCAUCUUUGGUAUGAUAAUUAUCUAUAUCAUUGAGAACACAGCUUCCACUAUCAGCGGAUU
rnacentral:rRNA from 1 species